CCCGAAAGCCUUCGGCAGGGGCAGGGGGCAGGGAAGAAGAGGUUAAAAGCGGGGAGGAGCUUUGAGGGCGGGACACGUGCUGCGUAAACUCCAAAGCGGGUUUGCUCUGGAAAGUAGGAGCCAUGGAUUGGAUUCUAGUCCUUGCUGUGGGAUGUAGAGCCAAGGAGCUGUCCCUCGUGCGUUGGGAGCCUUGCUCUUACAGUUGUUAGGUCCAAACAGCUUCUUUUUCUGGUGAGCUUCGUGGUUUAUUUACAAGACAUUCUCCUUACCCGGCCAUGGGAAAGGAGAAAGACUUAUUUUACAGAUAACAAAACUGAGACACAGGGGUUAAAAUGGCAGGAAGAAUUUUUUUUUUUACAAUCUUAAUAUGAGGAAAAGAAGAAAGAAUAGGAAAAAGUUUUGGGGGAUGAUGGUAGGGAUCUGGCUCCUAGAGUAAUUGGCCUGGAGUGGAAGAGAUAUUCGGCCAUUUCAGGCCUGUUUGACUUUGUGCCCCUAUUUUCAUGGCAAGGCCACUGCAGUGGUUUACCAUUUCCUUCUCCAGGUCGUUUUACAUAAGAAAAAAACUGAGGCAAAGGAGGUUAAGUUGAUGCCAUCGAGGUGUCAUUCUUUUUUUACUUUUUAAACCCUUACCUUCUAUCAUAGAAUCAAUACUGUGUAUUAGUUCCAAGGCAGAAGAGUUGUAAAGGCUAGGCAACAGGGAUUAAGUGACUUGCCCAGGGUCACACAGCUAGGAAGUGUCUGGGACCACAUUUGAACCCAGGACUUCCUGAUGAGGCCUGGCUCUCAAUCCAUUGAGCCACCCAGCUGCACCCCUGGGCUCCCUCCCCCCACCCCCACCCCCUGUGUCAUUCUUGAAAGAACCCAACACCAUUCACAGUUUCUCCAUCAGGAGUAAACUGGACUUUAUUGUGGGUCUGGAGACAACACACCCUGAAGACUCCUCUCCUCCAGGAAGCAGACUAAAAUUCUGGCAUGGUGUUUUGUGGCACAACACACGAGGUUCUGCCCAGAACCACUUCUGUCUGGAGGAACUGGCCAGCUGUAGAGGCUGAUUAGAGACAAGGCUCCUCACAGGGCCAAGAACUUGCCAGCCAUAGAGAACAGUUCUUCCCUUCCAACCGCACAUGAGAGGAAAGAAAAUGGAGGAGUGAGGAAGGCUUACUUUGCAAUGAAAAAAGUGAGCUGGAAAUAACAGUCCCUGUACAGGCCACCAAAUGAGGCUGGUGGAGUGUCUUUCUUGAAAGAACUUGGCCUCAGACCUCCAUAUCGAGUAAACAUGACUUUGUGGUGGGUCUUCAGGCAACAGCCCCUGUGGGGUCCUCUCCUAUAGGGGGUAGGAGUGUACCCCUCCCAAGGGAGAAGAUCUUGCAAGACUGAGGAGGACUCCUGGCUAUAUACUAAGAAUAAAUUAUUAAGAACCAAGAGAAAAUGUUUGCCUAACCAACUAGGAUAGCUAUAAUAAAGUGUGCCCUCACUUGAAGACUCACCCUUCAGGUAGAGUGCAAUUCAUUUAUUCUCUGACUCUUCAAUUUCCUGGUUGACUUUAAGUGAUAACUCUUAAUUAAUGUUACAACAUCACCACCCAAAGGGAGGUGGAGUAUACAAAGGAAGUAAUAAGGAUGCAUUCUGCUGUAGAAAAUUUAGGAACACAAAACAUUUAAGGAAAAGGUGAUAAUGAUGUUGGAAUCAGAAUCUCUUCUAUUUAGAUGGCAAACUCUUAAGGUCAAGAAUUGUCUUAAUGAUAUUUAUACUUGCAAAUUGUAGGUGCCUAAUGUUAACUGGAUGUUGAAAAUAAUAAAAUAGCAGUCAUGUUCUGCAAUACUUAGAAAUGCCAAAUAAAGUAAAAAUAACAGUAUGGAAACAUCUUUUCAACCUGUUCGAUAUUUUUUCCACUAUAGGGGUAGCAGACCACACUUUGGUUCCCCCCCCUGAAAUAUUAAACCAUUUCAAUGCUUCUAA